rnacentral:lncRNA from 1 species
CUUAUCCUACAUAUACAAGAUAAUUUUAGUCACUUCCCUUACCUAGUCUCGUAUGGUUUUUGUUUCCGAGAGCACCAAGAAGUCUUCCCAUUUUUUAUACUCUGUACUCGGUUCUAUUUUUUCCUAGAAAACGUCUUUUCUCUCCCUUAUAUUUCUAAUUUUCGUUUUUUCCUUUUAAAGUAACAAAAUGCCAACCCCUUUUAUUCUUCUCCUUCUU